rnacentral:rRNA from 1 species
UACGAGGGGGGCUAGCGUUGUUCGGAAUUACUGGGCGUAAAGCGCGCGCAGGCGGUUUUCCAAGUCAGUGGUGAAAGCCCGGAGCUCAACUCCGGAAAUGCCAUUGAAACUGUAAAACUUGAGGACGAGAGAGGUGAGUGGAAUUCCCAGUGUAGAGGUGAAAUUCGUAGAUAUUGGGAAGAACACCGGUGGCGAAGGCGGCUCACUGGCUCGUUUCUGACGCUCAGGCGCGAUAGCGUGGGGAUCAAACAGG